rnacentral:lncRNA from 1 species
GUAAACUCCUUAUAAUAUGACAUAUUCAAAAACUAACUUCCGUCGACAUCAUAUGGGGUAUUAAAAUAUUUUUCAAAACUCAGCAGCGACCCGGUUGAAAGAUAAACCGGUGCAGUUCACUUAAAAUGGCAUAUAAAAUUUCCACCGACGUCAAAACCGCAUGAUUUUAAAUUUAUUCAGUAGCUAAUCCAUGAGACUAUCAAAUCCAAUUGGUUUCAUCAAAAAAUUCCAAAUAACGAGUGAGUUAUGAAUUUUUGAAAACAAUGGUAGAAGCUAAAAAACAGAGAUAACACUCAGCACAGUUUACAUUAUGUGACAUAUAAUCUUUUACUGAUAUUGGAUUGACAUGAUUCCAAUUUUAUUCAGUAUCUAACUUAUUAGGCUACCCAAUCCAAUUGGUUUCGUAUAAAAAUACCAAGUAACGAAAGAGUUAUGAUUUUUUUAAGAUGAGGCAGAAACUGAAAUUUCUGAGGAGACAUCGAAACUUU